rnacentral:pre_miRNA from 1 species
UGGACAGAUUAUUGUAUUUGACUGUAUUCACGGCGUGAAACAGAGGAUUACACUGUUUUUAAACGAAAAGUGAAUUUAUUAAUAUAAUAGACUCCU